rnacentral:rRNA from 1 species
UACAGAGGGUGCGAGCGUUGUCCGGAAUCACUGGGCGUAAAGGGCGCGUAGGUGGCGCGACAAGUCAGUGGUGAAAGUUCGACGCUCAACGUCGAAUCGGCCACUGAUACUGUUGGGCUUGAGCACUGUAGAGGCUAAUGGAAUUCCGGGUGUAGCGGUGGAAUGCGUAGAGAUCCGGAAGAACACCGGUGGCGAAGGCGGGUCUCUGGGCCGAUACUGACGCUGAGGAGCGAAAGCGUGGGGAGCGAACAGG